AGAAAAGAAAGAGAGAGAAAAAAAGAGAGAGGUAGAGAGACGUUAUUGUGUGAAUCUGGCCCUUUCCUUUCUUUACUUAUUUCACU
rnacentral:ribozyme from 11 species